rnacentral:sRNA from 1 species
GUGCCGGACACGCCGAGCCCUGCCUGCGGCGCGCGAGUCAUGUCAGCUACACCACCUGGCAGGGGUGGGGGACCCACUUCUUCGUUCCUGAUCCGCGAAGCGCAGAUCAAGAACUCGGGGUGAAGCUCGCGUCGCACGCACGAAGCGCCGAGAGCCGGGCCGAGCAACAGGUCCGAACCCGACAGCUCACCUCACAGGCGUUCGAGAGGUUGC